rnacentral:misc_RNA from 1 species
CUGCAGCAGCAGCUGCUGCUGCAGCUGUUGUUGCAUCUUCUAUGGUUGUUGCUGCAGCAAAGUCAAGCACUGACUCAAACCUUCCUGUAGCAGCUGCUGCCACUGCUACUGCUGCAGCUGUUGUUGCAACAACUGCAGCUGUCAGUCAUCAUUAUGAGCAGUGCACACGAAGUGAUGGAGAUGCAAAUAGUUCUGGUUAUGAGCCACGAGGUAGUGGGGACCGUGGAAGUGGUGGCCAAGAACAUGAUGCUUUUGGGGAAAAUUCAGAAGGCGGGAGAAUAUCUGAUAGAUCAACUAGCAAUGAUAGCUUGAAGCCUGAUGCAGGACUAGAUGACAUUGCAGAGUGUGAGAUUCCAUGGGAGGAAAUCACCUUGGGUGAACGCAUUGGACUUGGAUCAUAUGGAGAGGUAUAUCGUGGAGACUGGCAUGGAACUGUGGGUAUUCUCAUGUCAAUUAAACCUUUUCAUCAUUUUUGUUCUGCUUAUUUGCUAAAAUGUUGGUUAAUGGUUCAUAAUAUGCUUGUUUUGGAGAUGAUUAACCAAUAUGAAGUAUGAAGAAGGCCUGACAAUUGUGAUCAAGUUUGAAGAAUUCUCUUCUUUCUAGAGCUGCUGGCACCAGUAACUAUGCAGCCCCACCAUUAGGUGGCCCAUGUCCAUAGAGCCUAGGCUGAUCCACACCACUGCAAAAUGAAAAAUUUUGGCAGAAGUUGUUAUCAUCUGUCUGAUGAACCAAAUAUAUGAUGUUUUUACCUGAUUGACACAAAAACAUAGGAAGAACUUUCUUUCCCCAAGUACUGGGGAGCAUUUUCUUUGGGCAAUCAUUACAUUUCGCAGUUGCUUUUCAUCUUAGAAACAUAUUUUGGAAAUUAGUUUCUUUUAAAUUCUUAGAGGAUUCUCAUCAGUUUUGGGAAUGGGAAUCCUUGGAAGCAGGUUGUACUUAGGGAAAAGGUUAUGGGAUGGCUUAAAGUUCAACAGUGCAGCAGUUAUUUCCUCAUGGACGAAAUGGGUCAAUUAUAUGGACUUCUGCUCAUAAUUCUAACUAUUUCAUUCACAAUGUUUAGAGGUAUAUAUGUUGACCUUGUUGCUAUUUUGUUUUGUUUUUAAUAGGAAGUGGCUGUGAAGAGGUUCCUAGACCAAGGAAUUUCUGUUGAAUCACUUGAAGAAUUCAGAACUGAGGUUCGAAUCAUGAAAAGACUCAGACAUCCCAAUGUGGUUCUCUUCAUGGGAGCAGUAACUCGUGCCCCAAAUCUUUCCAUUGUUACAGAAUUUCUUCCUAGGGGUAGUUUGUAUAGACUAAUUCACAGGCCUAACAAUCAAUUAGAUGAGCGGAGGCGUUUGAGGAUGGCUCUUGAUGCUGCUCGAGGAAUGAAUUAUUUGCACAACUGCACUCCAGUAAUAGUACACCGUGAUUUGAAGUCCCCAAAUCUUCUAGUUGAUAAAAACUGGGUGGUGAAGGUAUCAGAUUUUGGGCUAUCACGAAUGAAGCACAGCACAUUUCUCUCUUCAAGGUCAACUGCAGGGACGGCUGAGUGGAUGGCCCCAGAAGUGCUUAGAAAUGAACCUUCAGAUGAAAAGUGUGACGUUUAUAGUUUUGGGGUUAUACUAUGGGAGCUCUGUACAAUGCAGCAACCGUGGGGUGGAAUGAACCCAAUGCAAGUUGUCGGUGCUGUUGGAUUUCAACAACGACGUCUUGACAUUCCAAAUGAUAUGGAUCCAGUCAUUGCGGAUAUUAUUCGGAAGUGCUGGCAGACGGAUCCGAAAUUGAGGCCAACAUUUGCAGAGAUCAUGGCUGCUUUGAAGCCAUUACAGAAGCCUAUAACCAGUGCACAAGUGCCAAGGCCAAGUUCAUCUACACGAGGUAGGCAUGAGAAAGGUAAGCUGUCACAAGAAGCAGAAUAGCAGGCAGGCUAACGGAGCAAGUUAGUGAUGAAGCCGAACUUCAGCUCAUUUGAUCGCCAAAAUAUGGAGGCAAAUUAUGGACUGUCUGGGACAAGAAUACACAUCGAACUACGAAAAUAUAGAGGAAAUAUAUGGACUGUUUGGUACAAGAAUACGAGAGAUAUUGAUCGAAGAUCAUAACCCAACAUAACUUCCAAUUUGAGAUGAUUGUGAUUCUUUUCCAAUGUUUCCCUUUUUUUCUUUUGUAUUCUUGUGCAGCAAUCCUCAAUGUGUAUUUGUUUGUAAAAAAAAAAAAAAUCAUUUGAAAUUGUUGUAAUCAAUGUUUUGUGUUUUUCUUGUGCUUACAGUUUGAUAGCAAGCAAUUACAAACUGAAGAAGCAGUAGGAAAAAUUUGGCUGCCAUGAAGAGCAAUGCAGUGGAUUUACCUGCAAGCUUGGCAAGAUCUAAAAAUGAUGCCAAUUUGUUGCUCAGAAGGAAUCUGAUGAAUGGAGGGGAAUAUUGCCCCAAGUAUGAAUAUUUUUCACCAUGUUUUGGAAAGUUUCCUAGAGCCCUUAGAGUCUUGAUCAUAUUUGAGUGAACUGUCACAAGUCCUCAAAAUGGAUAAAUCAUGUCUCUGGCUCCUGAGUGCCCUAAAAGUUUAGGUUUAGGGCGGGCAGCCACAAUGCAUGAAAUCAUGUUUAGGUUAUGUAGUCUUAGAUUAGAUAAAGAAAAGAAAGUCCCUGAUAGGGAUAAGGGAACCUUUCUUUUGGGUGUCUCUGUAGCCAAACAGCCUCAUAAAAAGCUUAAGAAAGUGAAAGCAAGAGACCCCAUCAUUUAAAACCCAUCACAUACAUGGAUAAGUAGGGACCAGCUACUGCUAUCUUAUUUUUUCUAUUUCACAUCCUAAUAUCAACACCAAGAAACUAUCAAUAAGCCUGAAAGAUGGCUACCUUGUGUGGCUCUACACCAUUUCUCUCUUACCCACUACCAAGAACUAACCAUAUCUCUUCAUCGUCACAAACGCCACCUCCUCCUCCUCCAUCCACUCCACCUUCACAACCACAACCUCGAACACCAUCUCCGCAGCUAAGCACAACCUCAUCUGAGCAACUGACACCAGUCAUCUCAGCUGAAGUGCAAGAACAAAAGGAGUCUACUAAGCCUGCUUCUUCUGCAACCAAAGUUGAAACCACUGACUGGAUAGCUUCCACACUAACAAGGCGUUUUGGACUUGGUGCUGGCCUUGCUUGGGCUGCCUUUCUUGCAGUUGGUGUGGUCUCUGAACAGGUUAAGACCCGCCUUGAAGUCUCGCAACAAGAAGCAAAUACAAGAGAUGUUGAGAAGCAAGAAGAGGUACUAUUGCCUAAUGGCAUAAGGUACUUUGAGUUGAGAGUUGGUGGUGGAGCUUCUCCAAGGCCAGGGGAUUUAGUGGUGAUAGAUCUCAAGGGAAAAGUUGAAGAGAGUGGACAAGUGUUUGUUGAUACAUUUGGUGGAGACAAGAAGCCAUUGGCUUUAGUAAUGGGUUCAAGGCCUUAUAGUAAAGGAAUGUGUGAAGGGAUAGAAUAUGUUCUGAGAUCUAUGAAAGCAGGAGGGAAAAGAAAAGUUAUAGUUCCUGCUAGUUUAGGGUUUGGAGAGAAUGGUGCAGAUUUGGGUCCUGGUCUGCAAAUUCCACCAUUUGCCACUCUUGAGUAUAUUGUUGAGGUUGAGAAAGUUUCCAUUGCACCAGCUUGAUUUUUUUUUUAUUAUCAUUUAAAGAAUAUAAUUAGUGUCUGUUUAAACAUUAUAUACUCUUUUUUUUUUAUAAAGAAAGUCAUUGACCUGAAAAAAA